CCGCUCCCUCCGGGGGCAGUUCCCAGAAGCCAGUGUAGGGGCAUGGUGUGGAGAUAUGGGACCCCAAGACUGGUGCUGGGCCCCUGUUCCCACAGGGUAUGCGACAGAUCGUGGCUUCUGGGUCCCUGACCUGGCUUGGCCUCAGCACCAUUUGCGUCACCUUGGAGCCGUCACUUUGCCUCCCACAGCCUCAGGCUUCCCGCUUGAAAAAUGGUAUCAAUACUGUUUCUCCUGGAAACCCUGGUGCUGUAGUGGUUAAAUGCUACGGCUGCUAACGAAGAGAUCAGCAGUUGGAAUCCGCCAGGCGCUCCUUGGAAACUCUAUGGGGCCGUUCUGCUCCGUUCUAUAGGGUCGCUAUGAGUCGGAAUUGACUCGACGGCAGUGGGUUUGGGCUUUUGCUUUUUAAUACUUCUCCUGCGGUUGCCUCCCGGAGGGCACCAGCGCAGCCCGGCGUGCGGAGCGGUCCCAGGUGGGAAUCUUUUCACCAGAGGUUCGCAGGAAAGACAUACAUGUUAGGACUACACCUUAUGCCACAGGAGUGCCCUGAGGUCCUCUGAGCACUCUUCUGUAGUCCGCCCAUCCGUCCCGCGUGGCACGAAGCUCAAGGAUCCGCUCAUUCUCAUCUAGCCAUUAAGUUUAUUCUUUCCAUCGUAGAAUGUGACAUUUCUCUUUCAAAUGGACUCAGAACAAAAUAUCAAAAAGUAGCUAUCGCAGCGAAGUGCUCGCAGGGCCCGGUAACUGGGCCGCCUUAGCCGGGAAUGUCUUGGACAAAUGGGGGCCUGAGAGCCUGAAUAUGAGCGGGAAAAGGGGGGAGGAGUGCUGCUACAUGCAAGUCCUAAGGACAUACAGUGGUGCUUAGGGGACAACCCAGUUCUUGGAAGCGAGCUCCACUAACUUGUCUGGUGUCCUAUGCUCCGUCAGACUCUCCUGGAAGGAAAGUGACUCUGACACUUCUGAGGUCGGGGUCCCAGCCCCUGCUUCCACUCUAAUGCUGCAGUUGUGUUCCAGGAAUAAGGUUCUUGCCUCUCACUGGUCAAAAAUGAGCAGCCUCCUGGCUGCUGCUGCAGCUUCUCACUGCCCCUGGUGGAGGUCACACAGCGGUCACAGGUGGAUGUUCUGCGCAUGUCCUUGGGGCUGGUUUUCUCCAGCUACUUCUGAAAGACAACUUCCAGGAUCAUCCAUGGUGGACAGCUUUCAGUGGAGCUGCCAGACUAAGACAGAAGGAAGAAAGGCCUGGUGAUCUACUUUCAAAAAUUAGCCAAGGAAAGUUUUAUGGAUCACAACAGAAUAUUGUUGUCCUAUAUAGUGCUGGAAGAUGAGCUCUCUACCUCGGAAGGUGCUACACGGUGGCCACAACAAUGGACUCAGACAUGACAACUAUCAGGAAGAUGGCACAGGACGGGGCAAUGUUUUAUGUUGUAUCCAGAGUCACCAAGAGUUGCAGCUGACUCCAUAGAUAAUAACAACAACAGAGUUAUUCAAAGUGGAAAUAGGAGAACCAUAGUCAUCAGAAUCCCCUGGAGACAGGCUCAAGAUACAGAUUCCUAAAAGUUUUUAGCUAUGACAUUUCUGAUCAGCGCCUGAUCUCUAAAAUCUACAUGGUACUGCAAAAACUCAACUACAAAAAGACAAAUAACCCUAUUAAAAAAUGGGCAAAAUAUAUGAAUAGACACUUCACUAAAGAAGACAUUUAGGUAGCUAACAGAUACAUGAGGAAAGGCUCACGAUCAUUAGCCAUUAGAGAAAUGCAGAUCAAAACUACAAUGAGAUUUUGUCUCACUCCAACAAGGCUGGCAUUAAUCCAAAAAACACAAAAUAGUUAAUGUUGGAGAGGCUGUGGAGAGAUUGGAACACUUAUACACUGCUGAUGGGAAUGUAAAAUGGUACAACCACUAUGGAAAUCUAUUUGGCGCUUUCUUAAAAAGCUAGAAAUAGAACUACCAUACGAUCCAGCAAUCCCACUCCUCGGAAUAUACCCUAGAGAAAUAAGAGCCUUUACACAAACAGAAAUAUGCACACCCAUGUUUAUUGCAGCACUGUUUACAAUAGCAAAAAGAUGGAAGCAACCAAGGUCCCCAUCAACAGAUGAAUGGAUAAAUAAAUUAUGGUAUAUUCACACAAUGGAAUACUAUGCAUCGAUUAAGAACAGUGAGGAAUCUGUGAAACAUUUCAUAACAUGGAGGAAACUGGAAGGCAUUGUGCUGAGUGAAAUUAGUUGCAAAAGGACAAAUAUUGUAUGAGACAACUAUUAUAAGAACUUGAGAAAUAGUUUUAACAGAGAGGAAAAUAUUCUUUGAUGGUUAUGAGAUGGGGAGGGAGGGAAAAAGGAAGAGGAGUAUUCACUAAUUAGAUGGUAGAUAAGAACUACUUUAGGUGAAGGGAAAGACAACACACAAUACAGGCGAGGUCAGCACAACUGGACUAAACCAAAAGCGAAGUUUUCUGAAUAAACUGAAUGUUUCGAAGGCCAGUGUAGCAGGGGCAGGGGUUUGGGGACCAUGAUUUCAGGGGACAUGUAAGUCAAUUGGCAUAAUAAAAUCUAUUAAGAAAACAUUCCGCAUCCCACUUUGAAGAGUGGCAUUUGGGGUCUUAAACGCUAGCAAGCAGCCAUCUAAGAUGAAUCAAUUGGUCUCAACCCACCUGGAUCAAAGGAGAACGAAGAACACCAAGGACACAAGGUAAUUACAAGCCCAAGAGACAGAAAGGGCCACAUAAACCAGAGACUACAUCAGCCUGAGACCAGAAGAACUAGAUGGUGCCUGGCUACAACCGAUGACUGCCCUGACAGGGAACACAACAGAGAACCCCUGAGGGAGCAGGAGAGCAGUGGGAUGCAGACCUCGGAUUCUCAUAAAAAGACCAGACUUAAUGGCCUGACUGAGACUGGAAGGACCCUGGUGGUCAUGGCCCCCAGACCUUCUGUUGGCCCAGGACAGGAACGGUUCCCGAAGCCAACUCUUCAGACAUGGAUUGGACUGGACAAUGGGUUGGAGAGGGAUGCUGGUGAGGAGUGAGCUUCUUGGAUCAGGUGGACACUUGAGACUAUGUUGGCAUCUCCUGCCUGGAGGGCAGAUGAGAGGGUAGAGGGGGUUAGAAGCUGGCGAAAUGGACACGAAAAGAGAGAAUGGAGGGAGAGAGAGGGCUGUCUCAUUAGGGGGAGAGUAAUUGGGAGUAUGUAGCAAGGUGUAUAUAAGUUUUUGUGUGAGAGACUGACUUGAUUUGUAAACUUUCACUUAAAGCACAAUAAAAAUUUAUAUAAAAAAAAAUAAGUCAGCCUCAAAGGGAUGCAUACUGAUUACAUGAAAUAUCUAGGAUAGGCAAAUGUGUAGAGAUCAAACUGUAUUGGUGGUUACCAGGGCCUGGUGGGGGGGCAGGGCGGGCACUGAGGUUCUGUUAAGAGCGAUGGGAUAAUUUGGAAAUGGAUAAUGGUCAUAGUUGAAUAACAUGAUAAACAUAACUGAUGUCACUGAAUUGUGCACAUGGUGAAAGUUGAUAAAGCAAACAAUUUGUUACAUAUGUUUACCACAAUAAAGGGGGAAAUAUAGCAUAUUAAAAACAAAAUACAGAUUCCUGAGCCCCACCUGAGCCCUAGGGAGUCACUCUACAGAGGGAUUCAGGAAUUACCACUGACAGAUCUGAAUCGUAAUAGCAUGGGAGAAUCUCUGCCCUAAAUAAUCCUUUCUGGCAGUUCCUCUAUUUUCAAUCUUCAAAUCGGUCCUCCAGGUCUAACCUAGGCAAUGAGGGUGGAAGGGAAUAAACACUUACGGAAGAUGGAAAGUUCUGCCAUUUACCAGGUUGGCAAUGUGAUUGAGCCUUAUAUUCCUUUUCAAACACCCAUUAUUAUCCCCAUUGUACAGGCUAAGAGAGGUUAAGUAACUUGGUAGAAGCUGGAUCCUCACCCAAGUCUUUCGAACUGAAUCAGCAGCAUAGUUCAGUAGCUGAGCAAGGGGCUUCAGACCCUGGACUACAUGGGUUUGAAUCCCAGCUCUACUCCAUACUGUGUACUGGGCCUUCCUUAAAACAGUGCAGGGCUCAGGGCCACCCAAAGACUAUGGGGCCAUCUAAGACAACUGCCACAGUGUCAGCAUUCUUCCUAGGCCCCAUGUGAUAGCACUGAAGAGAAAUUUCUAAACUGAAAUUUAUUGAUGCUCAGAAAAGAGAAGUAAGUUACAGCCCUCCAUGGUCCCCUGCCCCCAACCACAGGGCUGAGGGCAUGUGACCUCAGGCAAGUCCCCAAACUCUCUGAACCUCAGUUCCUCAGCAGUGUUGUUAGGGGCUGUUGAGUCAGUUCCGGCUGUAUGUACAACAGAAUGAAACACUCCCCAGUCGUGUGCCACCCUCACAAUCAUUGCUGUAUUUGAGUCCCUUGUUGCAGCUAGUGUGUCAAUCCAUCUCUUUGAGGGUCUUCCUCUUUUUCGAUGACUGUCUACCAAGCAUGAUGUCCUUCUCCAGGGACUGAUCGCUCCUGAAAACAUUUCCAAAGUAUGUGAGACAUAGUCUCACUGGCCUUGUUUCCUGGGAGCACUCUGGCUGUACUUAUUCCGAGACAGACUUGUUCCUUUUUCUGGCAGUUCAUGUUAUAUUCAGUAUUCUUCACCAACACCAUAAUUUAAAGGCAUCAAUUCUUCAGUCUUCCUUAUUCAUUGUCCAGCUUUUGAACGCAUAUGAGGUGAUUGAAAAUAUCAUGGCUUGGGUCAGGUGUACCUUAGUACUCAAAGUGACAUGUUUGGUUUUUAACACUUUAAAGAGGUCUUUUGCAGAGAUUUGCCCAAUACAAUGCAUCGUUUGAUUUCCUGAUUGCAGUUUCAAUGGGCGUUGACUGAGGAUCCAAGCAAAAUGAAAUCCCUGACAAUUUCAUUCCUUUCUCUGUUUAUCAUGAUGUUGCUCAUGGGCCCAGUUGUGAGAAUUUUUGUUUUCUUUAUGUUGAGUUGUCAUCCAUACUGAAGGCUGUAGUUUUUGAUCUCCAUCAGAAAAUGCUUCAAGUUCUUUUCACUUUCAGCAAGCAAGGUUGUGUCAUCUGCGUAUCACAGAUUGUUGAUGCAUCUUCCUGCAAUCCUGAUGCCCUGUUCUUCUUCAUACAGUCCAGUUUCUCAGAUUAUUUGCUCAGCAUACAGAUUGAAUAAGUAUGGUGAAAGGAUACGACCCUGACACACACUGUUUCUGAUUUUAAAUCACGCAGUUUCCCAUUGUUCUGUUCAAACAGUUGCCUCUUGGUCUAUGAACCAGUUCCAUAUGAGCACAAUUAAGUGUUCUGGAAUUCCCAUUCUUGCCAGUGUUAUCCAAAAUUUGUUAUGAUCGACACAGUCGGAUGCUUUGCAUAGUCAAUAAAACACAGGUAAACAUCUUUCUGGUAUUCUCUGCUUUCAGCCAAGAUACAUCUGACAUCAGCAAUGAUAUCCCUUGUUUCAGGUCCUCUUCUGAAUCCAGCUUGAAUUUCUGGUCACUGGACUGCUGCAAUCAUUUUCUAAUUAUCUUCAGCAAAAUUUUACUUGCAUGUGAUAUUAAUGAUAUUGUUCAAUAAUUUCUGCAUUAUGUUGGAUCAUCUUUCUUUGGAAUGGGCACAAAUAUGGAUCUCUUCCAAAUUUCUUGGCCUAGUGAGCACCCCCAGAGCUCUAUUGAAACAUCUCAAUUGAUAGUCUGUCAAUUCCCACAGCCUUCCUCUUUUUUGCCAGUGCCUUCGGGGCAGCUUGGACUUCUUCCUUCAAUACCAUUGGUUCUUGAUCAUAUGCUACCUCCUGAAAUGGUUGAAUGUCAACCAAUUCAUUUUGGUACAGUGACUCUGUAUAUUCCUUCCAUCUUCUUUUGAUGCAUCAUUCAAUAUUUUGCCCACAGAAUCCUUCAAAAUUGCAACUCAAGGAUUGAAUUUUUACUUCACAUCUUUCAGCUCGAGAAAUCCCGGGAGUAUUUUUCCCUUUUGGUUUUCUAAACUCCAGGUCUUUGCACAUGUCAUAAUACUUUGUCUUCUUGAGCUGCCCUUCAAAAUCUUCUCUUGAGUUUUUACAUCGUCAUUUCUUCCAUUUGCUUUAUCUACUGUAUGUUCAAGAGCAGGCUUCAGAAUCUCUUCUGACAUCCAUUUUGUUUUUUUCUUUCUCUCCUGUCUUUUUAAUGACCUUUUGCUUUCUUUACAUAUGAUGUUCUUGAUGUCAUUCCACAACUCAUCUGAUCUUCGGUCAUUAGUGUUCAAUUCGUCAAAUCUAUCCUUGAGAUGGUCUCCAAAUUCAGGUGGGAUAUACUCAAGAUCAUAUUUUGGUUCUCUUGGACUGUCUCUAAUUUUCUUAAGCUUCAUGUUGGACUUUCAUAUGAGCAAUUGAUGGUCUGUUCCACAGUUGGCCCCUGGCUUUGUUCUGACUGAUGAUAUUGAGCUUUUCCAUUGUCUCUUUGCAGUGUACCUCUCGGUUUGUCAUAAUGUGAUGGCUUGCAUGUUGCUGUGAUGCUGGGAGCUAUGCCACCAGUAUUUCAAAUACCAGCAGGGUCAUCCGUGGUAGACAGGUUUCAGUGGAGCUUCCAGACUGAGACAGACUAGGAAGAAGGACCUGGUGGUCUACUUCUGAAAAAAUUGACCAGUGAAACCUUAUAAAUAGCAUAGGAACAUUGUCUGAUAUAGCACUGGAAGAUGAGUGCCUCAGGUUGGAAGGCACUCAAAAUGCGACGGGUAGAGCUGCCUCCUCAAAGUAGAGUCGACCUUAAUGAUGAGGAUGGAGUAAGCUUUUAGGGUCAUCAUUUGCUGCUGUGGCAUGAUUCAAAAUGAGAACAGCUGCAAACAUCCAUUAAUAAUCAGAACGUGAAAUGUCUGAAGUAUGAAUCUAGGAAAAUUGGAAGUUGUCAUAAAUUAAAUGGAAUGCAUAAAGUCCUAGGCAUUAGUGAGCUGAAAUGGACUGGUACUGGACAUUUUGAAUCAGACAAUCAUAUGGUCUAUUAUGCUAAGAAUGAUAAAUCGAAGAGGAAUAGCAUGGCAUUCAUCAUCAAAGAGAACACUUAAAGAUCUAUUCUGAAGCACAACACUGUCAGUGAUAGGAUAAUAUCCAUACACCUACAAGGAAGACCAGUUAAUGUGGCUAUUAUUCAAAUUUGCGCACCAACCGAUAAGGCCAAAGAUGAGGAAAUUGAUGACUUUUACCAGCUUCUGCCAUCUGAAAUUGAUCAAACAUGCAGUCAAGAUGCAUUUACUAGUGAUUGCAACGGGAAAGUUGGAAACAAAGAAGAAGGAUUGGUUGUUGGAAAAUAUGGGCUUGGUGAUAGAAACGAUACUGGAGAUUGCAUAAUAGAAUUAUCAAGGCCAACGACUUCUGCAUUGCAAAAUACCUUUUUUCAACAAUGUAAAUGGUGCCUAUAUAUGUAGGUAGACAACACAGAAUUAAAUUGACUACAUCUGUGGAAAGAGACAAUGAAAAAGAUCAGUAGUGUCAUUCUUAUGUAUACAUAUUACCUUAUUUAAUGGGUACUAAUUUUUUAAAUGGUACAAUUGGAAACCCUGGUGGUGUAGUGGUUAAGUGCUACAGCUGCUAACCAAGAGGCUGGCAGUUUGAAUCCACCAGGUGCUCCUUGGAAACUCUAUAGGGCAGUUCUACUCAGACCUAUAGGGUCGCUAUGAGUUGGAAUCAACUCGACAGCAGUGGGUUUGAGUUUGGAUUAAUGGUACAAUUACCGUCAUGAGGAAGUCCACAGUUUGGCUUUUUUUUAAAACAUUAGAAAGGGACUCUUAGCUGAGUUUGUGCUCCAGAAGAAAGGUAAAUCAAGAAAGAAGAAAAGGCAGGUAGGAAAUGAAGGCCCCAACCCGGGAAACAGUGAGAAGUUGGGGGUGACAGCUAUGUGACAGGCCUAGGCAGGAACUAGAGCACAUUGGAGGACAGAUCUCUGGGAGAGAGAGCUCUGGGGAAAAUUCAGACUAACUGCUAUGGCAGGGCAUUCCAGGAGAAGUGAUCAUAUGAUAAUGUGAAUGCAUAAUAUCUACUAAUUUGUUCUAGACAAACUGCAGAGUAAUCUGGUUAUUACUGCCUGGAUGCAGUAACCCUACAUAAAAAACCAAACCUGUUGCGGUCGAGUUGGUUCUGACCCAUAGCGACCUAUAGGACAGAGUAGAACUGCCCCAUAGAGUUUCCAAAGAGCGCCUGGUGGAUUCGAACUGUUGACCUUUUGCUUAGCAGCUGUAGCACUUAACCACUACACCACCAGGGUUUCCGUAACCCUACAUGGGGACUCCUAAUUCCCUAUUUGUUUAUUAAAACGCAUUUUUAAGUGCAUAAUGCAAACACAUGGUAUAAAAUUCCAAAGGUACAAAAGGAUAUAUGGUGCUGCAGUCUUCCAGCUUCCCUCCCUGAAGGCAACCACCAUUACCGGUUUCUUGUGUGUCCUUCCAGAGUUAUUCUACACCAGUGUUUUCCAGUAGAACUUUCUGUAAAGAUGGAAAUAGUUUAUAUCUGCAUUGUCCCAUUUCGUAGCCAUUAGCUACGAAUAGCUAGUGAGCACUUGAAAUGUGACUAGUGUGACUUAGGAGUUGCUGUUUAAUUUUAUCUGUGCUAAUUUAAAUUUAAAAAGCCAAUGCUUUAUGCAUAUGCUACACAACACAUAGUAGCAUACUGUAAAAAUGGCGUGGUGGCAUUAGACCUAGUCUAACUUUGUCAGGGGGAGAGAGAAGCACCAUCAGCAUCAGCCCAAGGGUGAUUCCUAUGAGGCGGAGGUCAAACAUACCUCCGUCCUCCAACCUUUUUACCAAUUCUGACACCAGCCAUCCCUCCACAGCAUUUUCUACUCUGCUGGGUUCAAUAAUUCAUUGCAAUGGCCACACAGAACUCAAAGACCAUACUCAUAGUUUUGGGAUUUAUUAGGGAAAUAACAGGUUACAAUUCAGGAUCAGGAACAACUCAAGAUACAGUUCUUUGGUCAGGACAGCUUCUCGGGCGUGCCUGCAGGCAGACUUCUCUCUCUUGGCUCUCAGCCCCUUGGCCCCUCAGUCAGGGCUCUGCCCUGCUUGGGCGAGCUCUUUAGCCCUGCCAUUAAGUGCCCAGAGGUACCCCACUUGGCCAGGAAGACUGCCAAAGGCGUUGUGCUCUCUAGCUCUGUGGAUCAGCACGCCCACUGUAACCGCCUUGCUCGGUGGGCUGGGAAGCCCACUGCACUGUCUAGUGCCAGUCUCCUGGUUCUGUUGCUGCUGUUUCUCUGCUUCGGUUGCUACUGCCACUUCUCACCAUCUCACACCGUCUCUGAUGUUACAGCUCUCUAUGUCUCCUGAGUCUAGGAGGCUCUCAGUGCAGGGAACCUGGGCCUAAAGGACAUGCUCUACUCUUGGCUCUUCUUCUUGGCGGCAGUGAGGUUUUCCCUGCUCCCCACUCCUGGGAUUGGCUCAUUUUAAGUCUAGUGGGAUGGCAAAACUGGCCAAUCCCCUACAAGAGCUCCAUAUACCUUAUUUGCAUAGUCCCACUCUGAGGUUUCUGUGCACCAUAUUUGCAUUAUUAGCAGGCUGUCCAAUCCCCUUGGUGGAUCACAAGCACCUUAUUUGCAUAGUACCACCCAACCAUUUUUUGGAGUCACAAGACUAAGCAAGGCUAGAAGGAUCAUAUUAAGUAAUUCACUGCACCGCACAUGCUAUAUACACCAUACCACAUCUUGCUUUGUUCACUUUUUGUGUGCCGUUGACUCCAAUUCAUAGCAACCCUAUAGGACAGGGUAGAGCUACCCCAUACGGUGUCCAAGGCUGUGAUCUUUAUGGAAACAGACCGCCACAUCUUUCUCCUGUGCAGCCGCUGGUGGGCUUGAGCUGCCAACCUCUGGUUAGCAGCCGAGUGCUUAACUAUUGGGCUACCAGGGCUUUUUGUUCACUUAGUAACCCCUGUGUAUCUUGGGAGAUAUUGUUCCAGUCUGCCUCAUUAAAACAAACUGCUGCAUAAGAUCUUUCUCUUGCAGUUCACUAAGGCAAUCCUUUAUUAACCACCUGGAGAACCCAGGGCCAUCACUCUUCAAAACAAGCACUAAAAUCUUCCACAUAUAUCAAAACGAAGAGACCUUGCACCAAAUCUAGUUUCUACGCCCCUCUACUUUGAUCAGCCUAAGCCUGAAACAGCUUGACAUUGAACAGUCCCUCUUGGGAUAUGGGAAAAUGAUUUACCAUGAAUCACUGCCCUAAAAUAUACUUUCCACCCACGUGCCCCUUGUGCCUGAUACUCAGUGGUGACUAUGCCAUUCUUUAGGAUUAAUCAUGGCUCUCUCAACUCUCCUUUGAAGUGAAAAGUCUCCUGGGAAAGGCAGCAAUUAAGGUCAAGCAUCUGGAGCCGAUUUGACUUUUGCCCUUUGAGGGGCCAACAAACGUUAUGGAACAGUUGGAGGCUCUGAAUCUCGCUAUUCUUAAAUUGUCCUUAAAUCCAUGUGGAUCCCUGGCUAGUUUUUGCCUUUAGACGACCUUCCUUUUAGGGUGUUUCAGGUUAUAAAAAUAUUUCUAGUUUUAAAUGGCCUCUAGAGGAAGAAACUUCACUAACCUGCUAACUUAGCUAUUUAGUGCUGCUGUAACAAAUACCACGAGUGGAUGGCUGUAACAGAAAUUUAUUUUCUCACAGUUUAGGAGAGUAGAGGUCCGAAUUCAGGGCACUGGCUCGAGGGGAAGGCUUUCUCUGUGUGUCAGCUCUGGAGGAAGGUCCUGGUCUCUUCAGCUUCUGCUUCCUAGUUCUUUGGAGAUCUCCAUGUAUCUUAGCAUCUGCCUUACCCCAUCUCCCCCUCUGUCUCUCUCUCUGCUCGUUUGUUUAAUCUCUUUUUAUAUCUCAAAGACACUGACUGAAGAUACACCCUACACUAAUCCUGCCUUAAUAUAACAAAGACAGCUAAAUGGGAUCAUAACCACAGGCAUAGAGGUUAGGAUAUACAACACAUUUUGGGGGGACAUAAUUCAAUCCAUAUCACCUGCUUUGAUAUUUAACCCUGUAUACACGUUUUCUUCUGGUAUUUCCUGUGGGAAGCAGUAGGCACAAGACUUAGUGUCAGACAGAUCUGAGUGCAGAUUCCAGCUGCAAAUGGCACAGUCCCUUUGCAGUUUAUGGGGCAAAUACAUAGUAUGCACUGACCUUUAAGAGGUCAGUCUGUAUUUCAUAAGGAAUCACAUGAGGAAAAUGAAGGAAUGACCUAAAAUUCACUCAAUAAUAUUGCUUGAGUCAUCACUAAGGUCAGGGCAUGUACUAGGCAUUGAAGGGAGGAGGGAGCUGUGGAGAUAAAGGAGAUCUGAUUCUUGCCUUGUCAGGGUUCCUGACCUAAUAGAGAACAGUGGUUAAGUCUUUACAUUGAUAGGCAUUAUCUGUCACUAUUUUCCAUUUAUAGGAAACUCCUAGAAGAGUGGAACCAGGGUAUGUAACCACCAAACCAGGGCUCGUUCGCAUACUAGGGUAUGUUGAAUUCUUGGCCCCAAUUCUUCACCCUUCCCUACGUCCACACUCUUGUCUCUUGUGGGUAGAGUAUACUUUCUUGUUUCCUGGCUUUGGCCUUGGCCACGUGUCUUAGUCAUCUAGUGCUGCCAUAUCAGAAAUACCACAAGUGGAUGGCUUUAACAAAGAGUAAUUUAUUUUCUCACAGUCUAGUAGGUUACAAGUCCAAAUUCAGAGUAUCGGCUCCAGGGGAAGGCUUUUUCUCUCUGUCCGCCCUGGAGGAAGGUCUUUGUCCUCAAUCUUCCCCUGGUCAAGGAGCUUCUCAGGCACAGGGACCCUGUUUCCAAAAGACGCUCUCUGCUUCUGGUGCUGCUUUCUUGGUGGUAUGAGGUCCCCAAUUCUCUGCUUGCUUCCCUUUCCUUUUAUCUCUUGAGAGAUAAAAGGUGGUACACCCCAGGGAAACUCCCUUUACCUUGGACCAGGGAGGUGACCUGAGUAAGGGUGGUGUUACAAUCCCACCCUAAUCCUCUUAACAUAAAAUUACAAUCACAAAAUGGAGGACAACCACACAGUACUGGGAAUCAUGGCCUAACAAAGCUGAUACACACAUUUUUGGGGGGACAUAAUGCAAUCCAUAACACCAUGUGACUUGUUUUGGCUCAUAGAAUGGGGCAGAAAUGAAAGUGUGCCAGUUCUAAGCCUAGGCUUUAAGAGGCCAUAUACUUUUCUGCUUGCCUUUUUAUGCCUCUGCCUUCUCCAGGAGAAGAGCUUCUCCUGGGUCUCUGCUGACUCUUCAGCCUGGGCCCCAGAAUGAAAACACAUGGGACAGAGCCACCCCAGCUGAUCUGCAGCCUUAGAGUAAGAAGCAGAGCUGAACCAGUGCAGAGUUAAAGCACAGUGCCCCAGCCAACCUGCGGAUCUGUGGGAACUGCUAUGUCAACUCACCAAGUUUCAUAAUGGUUUAUUACACAGUAUUAUUGUGGCAAUAGCUAACCCAUAUGUAUACAUACUCCUUUAUUAGGCCCUAGGGUCAGGUGCUGCAAUAGAGAACCAAAGAAUAGUGGGUUAAAUAAGAGGGAAGUUUCUCCAUCUUUCACGUAACAAUCUGGUUAGGAAAUCAGGGCUAGUUUAGUGGCCACCUUGUCAGGAGCCCAGGCUCCUUCUACCUUAUUGCUCCACCAGCCUUGGGGUAUGGCCCUAAUCCACGUGAAGUCUUCAUAAGGAUUACAGUUUAAGUCUUAAUUUCCUUCAGCCCUGCAAAUGAAGACACUCCACAGUAUGACACCAAACUACCCUCUAACACAUAGACUCUCAACUUGAAUCACUUCCCACUUUUGCUUCAGGCCUCAGGACUUUUUUCCCUUCUUGAAAGUGUGCUUCUCUCUGCUCCACUAGUGCUCAACAACAGCAUGUCACUCCCACCAGGGCCUUGGGAACCAGAGCUGGUUGAGUCUGGUGCUUUCCAGGAAGCCCUAAUCUCCACGGAGGUGAGCAGUAGCCCAGGGUUAUCUAUGUUGGUAGUCCAAGGUAAGGCUCAGUCAUGCCUCCCAUUCUCACAGACUUGACCAGACACCAGUCCUCUCACCUCCCACUGCUCUCCCCUGCCUCCCCGCAGUCAUCUCCCUGCUGUCUCCAGCCGAGAAGAAACCACAGGACCUCUGCUUCCUCUGACUCCCUGCCCUUCUUGUCAUAGCUCAGUGGUUCCUAAAAUGGGCCUCCCU